rnacentral:tRNA from 1 species
GGCUCCGUAGCUUAGUUCGGUACGAGCGCCUGACUUGUAGCAUCUGUAAUUGCAAGAGAUCAGGCGGCCGGGGGUUCAAAUCCCCCUGGAGCCU